rfam:Triticum aestivum genome assembly, contig: Triticum_aestivum_CS42_TGACv1_scaffold_458448_5DS
AAAAUACCCCCUCUGAUCCAUAUUACUUGUCCUAGAUUUGUCUAGAUACGGAUGUAUCUAACACUAAAAUGUGUCUAGAUACAUCUGUAUCUAGACAAAUGUAAGACAAGUAAUAUGGAUCGGGGGAGUAUAAG